AAAACUGCUUGGGAAAUUGUCAAGGCUCCUCGUCAACCGGAUAGUAACCAAUGCGGUUUCUUUGUCAUGGCGUACAUGAAAACUUUAAUUGAGAAUAUGCCAGACUUCGAUGAUAAAAAUUCUGUUCAAGCACUGUUUCAACAAGUUGAUUAUGACAAAG